UACAGAGGUCUCAAGCGUUGUUCGGAUUCAUUGGGCGUAAAGGGUGUGUAGGUGGCGCGCUAAGUCGGGUGUGAAAUUUCGGAGCUUAACUCCGAAACUGCAUUCGAUACUGGCGUGCUUGAGGACUGGAGAGGAGACUGGAAUUCAUGGUGUAGCAGUGAAAUGCGUAGAGAUCAUGAGGAAGACCAGUGGCGAAGGCGGGUCUCUGGACAGUUCCUGACACUGAGGAGCGAAAGCGUGGGUAGCGAACAGG
rnacentral:rRNA from 1 species